GUAUAGCUGUCCUUGUGAUGCCUGCAGUAACGUUCGUAAAUGUAUGAGGCGCUGCUUAUGGCCCACGUUAUUAAAAGCCUUGGGGAGGGUUUUUGCCGUUUAAAAUGGCAAGGCUUUCCCCUCUCUCCCCUGAAUAGGUUUCUUCACCGCUGGAAACCGUAACUAGCGUUUUCUCCGCUUCUCUUUUUAUUGCUUUCAGUAUUUAUUUAUUGCUUUUUGCAGUAGAUAUUGAACGCGGAAGGAGACGAAUGGGGACAUUUGUCCUGGGUGAAUUCCUUUCCACAGGAACGACACGGGCUCUAUCAAGCCCCAUAUUCACGCGAUCAGAAAAACACGAAAGGAGUUGACCUUUGGGGAUUGUGCCAUCAUGACCCAAACUAUUCCUAAUUUGAUGCCUGUUUGCACUGAGCAGUGGCGUGGAAGUGUUUCCUUGGGGCAGCACAAAGGCAUCCCUGGAAGUUAAAAGUCGCAAGACAGAACUAAAGAAGGGACCCUGACUGCCUGUGAACACUUGCCCUAUGCAUAAAUAUGUAGAAAAAGGAAAGAAG